rnacentral:pre_miRNA from 1 species
ACAACAUUUGGACCGUCGGUCUACCGAGCAAUAUCAUCCGCUCGGUGGAAGAUCUUCCUUUCGUCGU